UUUUUUUUUUUUUUUUUUUUUUUUACCACCACCCCUGUGGCAUCUGGAAGUUCCCAGGCUAGGGGUCAAAUCGGAGCUGCAGCUGCCGGCCUUCACCCAGCCACAGCAAUGCCAGAUCAGUCCCACAUCUGCAACCUCGCAGCAGUUUGUGGCAAUGCCAGAUCCUUAACCCGAUGAGCAAGACCGGGGAUCAAACUCGCAUCCUCUUUGUUACCAGUCAGUUUCUUAACCGGCUGUGGCACAAGGGAAACUCCCCAGCCGAUUCUUAAAACACAUCCUUUUCCUAAAAAAGAAACAUCUUCGCAAUUUCUCACACAAGACUGACAAAUACAAAUUCAGUAUUCUUUUGGAAUAAAAAGGUUCUAACUCAAAAUCUCCCACAAAACUCAAAGCAGAUUUCUUCUACAUAAAACCUGCUUAUACAGCCAGGAGUUCUUUGGGAUGCAAUACCAGAUCGUCCCCUAGGAUAUCCUGCUUUCAUCCCCAGUGCCUACAGAUGACAAAAGGUACUUGGCAGGGUGGGGUUUCCUUCCACACAGACAAUCAGCCUCCAAAGCAAGGAGUGAGGAAGCCAGAGUCUAAGUGACCGUGCCGCUUCCUUGGCAGCCUUUGCGCUCCAGAGUCCCAGGAGGAGAAAGACGGAAAGGGGCUUACAAAGAAAUCACAACUGUCAUUUAAUGAAUUGAUGCAGCCGUGCUUUUAAUAGCCCCAUUUAACUGUACAGUCGUAUUUUCUGCACAAGCCCUCCUACCACUAAUGUGCUAUAGGAUUUCAGCCAAGUAUUACUUAGGUGUUAUCAAAUGAUGGCAUUUAACUUCCGGUGCACGGGGUGGGGUUUCUUAAAAAAGAGGAGUGUGAUUAAUAGCAUAAAAAUGAUAGCAGGCUGCCACCAUAACCCUGAAGACAAGAAAUGUUCAUUUUCGUUAUUUUAAAACCAUAACAUCAUCAAGUCCAUUACGGAGAACUAAGGGCUAUAUCUGACCUCAGACUGAGGCAAAUGGAUGGCUUUUCUCACCCCAAGAUAACAUGACAAGCCUAAAAUAGCAAAAUGUAUUAAAAAUAGUAAAUGUCUUAGCUGAACCCUGCUGUGUCCAGGGGUGUGUUUAUUUCUAAACCUUCCCAUCAUGCAACAUAAGACAAUGCAAAAAGGACAAUCUGAUGUGAUGAGUCUCACCAUUGUUCUAAGAAGCACUGUUCUUCACACCGAGUGGCAAAAAAUGUGUUUGUAAAAAAUGUGUGUUUGUAAAUACGUUUGUCACGUGGAGUGUAAAACAGACACUGUGAAAGACCAUCUUAGGAUUAUAACUGGAAAUCUUUUGACUUUACCAUCUGAAAAAUUCUAUUUGAUCUUUCUCAAUUAUCACAAUGUGCAUAAAACUCUCAGGAAAUGAAACCAUUUAUAAUGUCACAGUAAGACAGAAGACGCUAAAACAAGGAUUUUUUAUGUCUAAAAGUGCUUUUUUAUUUUUAGCAAGAAAAGGAUGGGCAUGGAAUUCCCUGGUGGCCUGGCAGUUAAGGACCCAGGGUUGUCACUGCUGUGGCUCGGGUGACUGUUGUGGAGCGGGUUUGAUUCCUGACCCAGGAACUUCCAAAUGUCAUGGGUGUGGCCAAAAAAAGGGAUGGGCUGAUUUUUUAAAAAUCUGAGUGUUAAUAUUCUCUUCAACUAAAAAGUUCCAAACUUACAGAUAAUGCAACCCAAAACACCAUUUGAGGCCCAAUGUAAUUGCACGUUACAUACUCAAUAGACCACAUUUGUAAAAUUCCAACUUCAAAUAACAUUCUUCCAAGUCGCUCCCAAGUCACCUCUCUCCACAUCACCAAUGUCAUUUUGCCAGUUAUCCCAAUGUCAUUUUAAUUUCUCUCACACACUCUAAAGUUCUUCUGAAACUGCAAACAGAGAAGAAUUAAGUUGGUGGUGAGGGAAAACAACCUGAAAUCUCAGAACAGGGAGGCUAGCACUAAUGAUUAAACUUCUCUUCCAAUCAGUUUCUCCAUCUGGGUUACCAGGAUACGCAAUGGAGUACGGUACUUAUGGCUCAAGAAAUUUUUAUAUCUCCUAGAGCUGAUUGGCAAGAGCAAUCAAUAGUAGAACUGGUGGGGCCUGGGGGAUAGAGAGAUAGACUCUUCCCUUUAUACUAAGCAUAAAAUGGGAUAAAAUUCCUUCUUGGGAUGAAACAACACCUGUAGCUAAACUCCGAACCUGAGUCAUCUAAGUACCAAGUUUGAAGUUUAAAGACUUUAGAAUGAGCUUGGCACACAAAAAAGCACUUAAUAAGUGCAUAUUCAAAUCAUGAAUGAAUAAAUCUACAGGACAGUCCACAAUGUACUAUGCUCAUCUAGUCCCCACUGCUCCUAUUAGCUGCUGUGAGUAUAUCUUCUGAUAUGUGGCCAAUCAUCCAACAGUCACCGUAAGUGUUUAAUGAUCCUGGCUGUCAAUGCCAGUCUGGCCCUAAUCCAUAUUCUGAACACGAAGAAUUCAAAUACCAAGUAAACCCCAAUAUCAUUAGACAGAUCUUCUGCCUAUGCCUUAGUAGAUAGCUCAGCAUCUCUCUUCUUAACCUAAACUAGUUUAACUGGUUUCUAAAAAGUCAUCCUCAUCUUGGUGUCCACACUGCCCAGCACACAGCAAGCUCAGCAGAGAUUUCCUAAACUCAGGAAUCAAGGACUGGUUUUUUGGUCAACGGAUCUCAACAAGAAAAGAGUAAAAGAAAACACCAUCACACCAACCUGCUUAAGCGGCUGAUGCCUUAUCCCUGACCUAAUAAUCCCAUUAAAGUGGACCUGGAGGAACACAUCCAUUAGUUUGGAGGGUAGAGGUGGGGGAAUCAAAGAAAUACACAAAUGACUGGUCUUCACACCCAAGCUCUCUCGGACAAACUGAAUGAAGACGAUUCAACAUCCCUGACUAGGACCUUCAUGAGAACCUAGACCAAGGUAGUUAUAGGGUUUAGAGAGUAUAAUGCAAAGAGCAAUUGUCACAGCACUGUAAAUCAACUAUACUUUAAUACAAAUAAACAAAUAAAUAAAUUAAAUGCAAAGAACCCUCCGAGCUAGAAUAAACAGGACUUGCUAAAGUCACCUUGUUUUAGAUGCUACUACACCUGAUCCACUGUAAGCCUCCUGCUCAGAAUUAUUACAAAGUCCCUACUACCUGCUAUGGUCUGAAUGUUUGUUUCCCCCCAAAUUCACAUGUUGAAAGCUAACCACGAAGGGGACAGAAUCAGGAGGUGGGGCUUUGGGGAGGUUAUUAGGUCAAGAGGGUGGAACUCUCAUGAAGAGGAUUAGUGCCCUUCAAAAAGAGACACCAGAGAGAUCCCUCAUCCCUUCCACCAUGUGAGGACACAGCAAAACGUGGGUAGUCUGCCACCCAGAAAGGGACCUUCGCCAGAACCCACCCAUGUUGGCACCCUGAUCUUGGAUUUCCACUUUUUAUGAGAAAUACGUUUAUGGUGUUUCUAAGCCACCCAGUCUGUAGUAUUUUGUUAUAGCAGCCCGAACAGACUAAGACACUACCUUAGUACUUAUCACAAUGCAUCUUGUUCAGGUUUGGCUGCGUGCACAUCUAUCCCGAUGACCCGACUAUAGGCUCAAAGGCAAUCAGAGCUUUGUUCAGCCAUUCAAUAACUAAGCAAGACGCUGAGUUAGGCAUGCUACAGAAUUCAGUCAUGGUCAAGCCUUCCUGAUG
rnacentral:lncRNA from 1 species